UAGGGAAUCUUCCACAAUGGACGCAAGUCUGAUGGAGCAACGCCGCGUGAGUGAAGAAGGUUUUCGGACCGUAAAGCUCUGUUGUUGGUGAAGAAGGAUAGAGGUAGUAACUGGCCUUUUAUUUGACGGUAAUCAACCAGAAAGUCACGGCUAACUACGUGCCAGCAGCCGCGGUAAUACGUAGGUGGCAAGCGUUGUCCGGAUUUAUUGGGCGUAAAGCGAGCGCAGGCGGAAGAAUAAGUCUGAUGUGAAAGCCCUCGGCUUAACCGAGGAAUUGCAUCGGAAACUGUUUUCUUGAGUGCAGAAGAGGAGAGUAGAACUCCAUGUGUAGCGGUGGAAUGCGUAGAUAUAUGGAAGAAUACCAGUGGCGAAGGCGGCUCUCUGGUCUGCAACUGACGCUGAGGCUCGAAAGCAUGGGUAGCGAACAGGAUUAGAUACCCUUGGUAGUC
rnacentral:rRNA from 1 species